AUUGAACGCUGGCGGCAGGCCUAACACAUGCAAGUCGAGCGGAAGAAGAGAGCUUGCUCGUGGAUUCAGGGGGGGAGGGGCGAGCAAUGCCUGGGAAUAUCCGAGGCUGUGGGUUAGAACGUCCUGAAACGGGGGCUAAUACCGCAUAACUCCUGACGAAGUACGGGGGGGAGCAUCGGACCUUCGGACAUCACACGAGUCAAGGUCGGAUUGGCUAGUUGGUGGGGUAAAGGCCUACCAAGGCGACGAUCCGUAACUGGUCUGAGAGGAUGAUCAGUCACACUGGAACUGAGACACGGUCCAGACUCCUACGGGAGGCAGCAGUGGGGAAUAUUGGACAAUGGGCGAAAGCCUGAUCCAGCCAUGCCGCGUGGGUGAAGAAGGCCUUCGGGUUGUAAAGCACUUUAGGUGGGAAGGAAAGGCAGUAAGUUAAUACCUUGCUGUUUUGACGUUACCAACAGAAUAAGCACCGGCUAACUUCGUG
rnacentral:rRNA from 1 species